GAUUGCAGGCUGCAACCCGCCCUGCAUGAAGUCGGAAUUGCUAGUAAUCGCGGAUCAGCAUGCCGCGGUGAAUACGUUCCCGGGUCUUGUACACACCGCCCGUCACACCAUGGGAGUCAGUAACGCCCGAAGCCGGUGACCCAACCUAUUCUGGAGGGAGCCGUCGAAGGCGGGACGGAUGACUGGGGUGAAGUCGUAACAAGGUACC
rnacentral:rRNA from 1 species